rnacentral:rRNA from 1 species
GAUGAACGCUGGCGGCGUGCCUAAUACAUGCAAGUCGAGCGAACAGACGAGGAGCUUGCUCCUCUGACGUUAGCGGCGGACGGGGGAGUAACACGUGGAUAACCUACCUAUAAGACUGGGAUAACUUCGGGAAACCGGAGCUAAUACCGGAUAAUAUAUUGAACAGCAUGGUUCAAUAGUGAAAGACGGUUUUGCUGUCACUUAUAGAUGGAUCCGCGCCGCAUUAGCUAGUUGGUAAGGUAACGGCUUACCAAGGCAACGAUGCGUAGCCGACCUGAGAGGGUGAUCGGCCACACUGGAACUGAGACACGGUCCAGACUCCUACGGGAGGCAGCAGUAGGGAAUCUUCCGCAAUGGGCGAAAGCCUGACGGAGCAACGCCGCGUGAGUGAUGAAGGUCUUCGGAUCGUAAAACUCUGUUAUUAGGGAAGAACAAAUGUGUAAGUAACUAUGCACGUCUUGACGGUACCUAAUCAGAAAGCCACGGCUAACUACGUG